CAGGUCGUUAAUUACUUCUGUUUUGGGUACGACACGGAGUCUAAAUCGAGCAAAGAAGGCCAGUGAUACAAAGUCAGUGCUUAUGCUGAAAUAGGAAUAUUUCCAAACGAUGGAUGAGUUGAAGGAAGCUUGUUCGGUCAAAUUAAAAACUGCUAGACAAUACUACAUUCUAGGACGGUACGAAAUACUCCAAUGUGGUGAUGUGGUGACGCAAAAUGUAAUUGUGCUAUUAGUGGCAAACGAUGCUCAUCAAACCGC